rnacentral:rRNA from 1 species
CGUUGUCCGGAAUCAUUGGGCGUAAAGAGCGUGUAGGCGGCUCGGUAAGUCCGAUCUGAAAGCCCGGGGCUCAACCCCGGGAGGCGGGCGGAUACUGUCGAGCUAGAGUCCGGAAGAGGCGAGUGGAAUUCCUGGUGUAGCGGUGAAAUGCGCAGAUAUCAGGAGGAACACCAAUAGCGAAGGCAGCUCGCUGGGACGGUACUGACGCUGAGACGCGAAAGCGUGGGGAGCAAACAGG